rnacentral:snRNA from 1 species
AUACUUACCUGGCAGGGGAGAUACCAUGAUCAAGAAGGUGGUUCACCCAGGGCGAGGCUCAGCCAUUGCACUCCUUGGUUGUGCUGACCCCUGCGAAUGGCCCUCGGUCCGCGUGACGUGCAAUUGAAC